GGGCGGGUAGCGUAGUGGUCAGCGCAUUCCUAAUCGUUUCAGCGUUUGUUUGUUUUCUUGAUUAUUACUUUCUCGGCGUUUAGCGAAAGACCUGGGUUCGAGUCCCAGCCCGCCCA